rnacentral:rRNA from 1 species
CCUACGGGCGGCAGCAGUGAGGAAUAUUGGUCAAUGGGCGCGAGCCUGAACCAGCCAAGUCGCGUGAGGGAGGACGGCCCUACGGGUUGUAAACCUCUUUUGCCGGGGAGCAACGGGCGUCACGUGUGGCGCCACUGAGAGUACCCGGAGAAAAAGCAUCGGCUAACUCCGUGCCAGCAGCCGCGGUAAUACGGAGGAUGCGAGCGUUAUCCGGAUUUAUUGGGUUUAAAGGGUGCGUAGGCGGAUCGUUAAGUCAGUGGUCAAAUUGAGGGGCUCAACCCCUUCCCGCCAUUGAAACUGGCUGUCUUGAGAUGUCGAGAGGUAUGCGGAAUGCGCAGUGUAGCGGUGAAAUGCUUAGAUAUUGCGCAGAACUCCGAUUGCGAAGGCAGCAUACCGGCGGCGAUCUGACGCUGAGGCACGAAAGCGUGGGUAUCGAACAGGAUUAGAUACCCUUGUAGUC